GCGGCAGCCAAUCGGCGCGGUGCUGCCGGGCCGGAGCUGUUUACCCAAUCUCAGCCCGCCUUCCCGUCGGGAGCCGCUGAAGGGGGGAGCGGGCGGAGAGGGGCACGGCGGCGGCGGCGGCAGGAACGCGGCGGUGGCGGCGAGGAGCCGCAGGAAGAGUGAAACAAAGCGCGAAGGUGCGGCGGGGGCAGAUGACAGCCCGGCCCGCGGGCUCCCCUCCUACCUGCAUCGCCCCGGCGGGGGCCGCUCGGCGUUAAUACCUGACCAUGACCCCCCGCCGCCGGUGCCGGCUGGGCCACCCCGGCGUUUCCCGCUGAAGGCACCGGCUCCUUUUCCACAUCCCCCGUUCCUGUUCUUCCUUCGCCUCCUCGCCGUUGAGGCUGUGCCGCCGCUCGCCGGAGCUCUGCCGGAGUGAUGGGCUGCAUCGGAUCCCGCACUGUGGGAAAUGAGGUGAUUGCAGUAGACUGGAAGGGACUGAAAGAUGUGGACCAAAUCAACAUGGACAGCACCAGUUCACUGCAUGGCAGCAGCUUCCAUCGGCCUUCUACUGAGCAAACACGGACAGACUUCUCCUGGGAUGGCAUCAAUCUCUCCAUGGAAGAUACGACCUCCAUCCUUCCCAAGCUGAAACGCAACUCCAAUGCUUAUGGGAUUGGGGCUUUGGCUAAAUCAUCUUUCUCUGGGAUAUCUCGCAGCAUGAAGGACCACGUCACAAAGCCGACGGCCAUGGGCCAGGGCCGCGUGGCUCACAUGAUUGAGUGGCAAGGCUGGGGCAAGGGCAGCAGCCAGCAGCAGCAGCACACCCACGAGGCCGCCCGCAAGGACGCCGACGCCUACUCCGACCUGAGCGACGGCGAGAAGGAGGCUCGCUUCCUUGCAGGAGUGAUGGAGCAAUUUGCUAUUUCUGAGGCAACUCUCAUGGCCUGGUCCUCCAUGGAUGGUGAAGAUGUGAGUGUGAACUCAAACCAGGAGAACCCAGUAGGCAACUACUCUGAGAACUAUCAGGAGCUAAUGGAAAGCCAAGAGCACAUGGCCCAGACGCAGUAUGAUAGCUGGCCUCACUCCUACGUUUCGCAGGGCAUGUAUUGCUUAGGUUCAUCUGAUGCCUGGGAGACCAGUGACCAGUCCCUCAUUGCUUCCCCAGCAACUGGCUCAUACCUAGGCCAGAAUUUUGAUGAGUCCCAGACAAACCUUCAGGAAAGCAUUUUAAUUCAGAGCAGCCUCCUCCAGCAGCAGCAGCUGCAGCAACAGCGACAGGAGCAGAACUUCAUCCAGAGCACAGGCCUGGUUCACGUGUGGCCCCUGCAGACUGCUCAGGGUGGCCGUGGGGCUGAGUCCAGCACAUACAUGGAGGACCACAUUGAGGAUGAAGGGAACCCCCGUCUGGAGAAGGCUCCUCUCCUCAACAAGAAGCCCUCUCCAGAGGAGGACGAUGCACUGUGCCGGGACCUGGAGUCGCUGUCUCCUCGAGAGGAGGUGGAACACGCUGCCCUGAGCCGCAAAGUCUCAGAUGUCACCUCCUCUGGGGUGCAGUCGUUUGAUGAGGAAGAGGGAGAAACAAACAACUGAUGCUUUCUGUGACCUUCUCAUCACCAUCGAACCAAGAGAGGGGUGGCAAGGAAUGAAAUUCCAGGGAUUCUUCUCUCCAGCUCCCCACACCUGUGAGCAGACCCCUUCCAUUCCUGACCUGUAACGAUGCUUUUUUAAACAAGAGGAAAAUCUCAAAGUAACUGGCGCGUGAAGACCUCUUCUUCCUCUCCAGCACGGACAGAUAUUCUUGAUUCUCGUUGCUCUGGGCAAUACCUGUGAGGUGCUUUGAGAGAUCUGGAUUGGCAGCUGCAUGAAGAGAGUCUCCUCUAUGGAUGUCCAGGUCUUUCCAGCCAAGGCCACUUCAGGUGGAUCUGUCUUCCCUCUCCACUGAACCUCUAAAGGAAAGACCUAUUGGAUGUUUAAGUAAGACUGAUAAUUCAGUGUAGGUAAGAGAGGAAAGUUUGUGUGCCCACCAUUUUUUACCCAUUUGUUGGCCUUGCUUACAUCUCUCUAAGGAGGGAGCUCUUUUCCUGAGUGAUGACCUUUCAGUAUCUCUUUAAAGAUGUUUACACAUUCAGGUGCUAACCCCACCUGGGCAGGAGGGUUUGAUAAAGAUGAUCUUCUAGAGUUCUUUUAGGGUCAGUACUAGCUUAAUGUCCUGAGCUGGUUUGGGUCUAGCCAUGGAGCAGGACCUAGGAAAUCGCAGUAGCCAGAACAGGGCAAGUGUUAAGAGCACCUCAGCAGGUGACAGAUGAAUAAGUGUUCACCUUUCCUUACUGCUUUUUAAGAAAGCCUUCAGGGAAAUCAAAAUGGUCAGGUCUGUUCCUUUGUGGGAGAAGAUUUGCUUGGCCUGUUGCUUUGUUUUCUCCAAACCAUUUUGUUCCCAUGUGCCUCUCCAGGACCAAUCUGGAUGUUGACGGUAACUUUCAGAGUAGCUUCUAAGGAUCCCUCUGUGUUGUUUGCAGGACUGGGACAGGUGAGUCAGCUUGUCCAGGGCUUCUUUCUGUUUUAGUCUGUGUGUGGUACACUUACUGAGCUGUCUGAAUGAUGUCUGAAGGCUGGACAAGGCAAUGACAGGGUAUUAUCUACACAGGAAAAACCUCAGUUCUAUAGAGUUCAAUAGGAAGAGACAAUCCCUCUGCAGGGCUUUAGCCCCUCUGCAGUGGGUUAGAGAAUUACAGCUGCUGCACAAUUCCACAGCUUGAUCUUUAGAAACCUGUAAAGAGACUCUUGUUCUCUGUGAAUGCAGACUGCUUUCAGCACUGCACUCUCUAAAAAUUAUCAAGCUUACUAAAUUCAGGAUUUUUUUUUUCAUUUACUUUCUGUGAACUAUAAAUUUUCAGCCUUUUUCUGAAAAAACAAAAGUUUCAAUGACCUCUCCAUAACCCAACCGAGAAAUGUGUCUACACUGGCCAGGAGUUUGACUGGAAAGAGCAAGUCUGCCCAGCCAUGCCUGCUACCUGAGUGAGCAUUCAUGGUCUGAGCUGGAGAGGUAGUUUGAAUCUCUUUGGAAAUGGCAAAUGGUCCGUGGAACCUGGCCUUUUCUUAUGGGACUGGCUUGCUGCUUGUGUGCAUCCAGUAUCAGAGAGAAGGACCUGGAGUCCUCUGUGCUUCCCAGAAAAGCCAUCAUGAUAUAGCUGCACCUAUUCAAGCAUAUGGAAGGCACAGGUGCUCUGUGAGCAAAAUUUGGCCUCCAGCUCUUUUAUCCUGGUGAGGAGAGACUAAUUGGAGAGAGUCCAGCCAAACACUCAGAGCCCAAAUUGGAUUUGUGAGGCUGAAAAUAUGAGGAGAAAAAUCAGUAUCCCUCAGCUACAGUUACUAAGAAACUGAGCCCUACUCUUCGUUUACACAAUCUCUGUAAAGCAGAGCUGCACUGCACAAACAUUUUGAAGCAGUGGAGGUAGAAGAUUCCCAUCUUUCCCCCAAGCCUUUGUCUUCAGCAGCAACUUGGUGAAAUUAAUGGUGCUGAACAUGAAGGAAAGCUUAAACACAAUGAGCCUAAUUGAAAAAGAACUUGUAUUCCAUUGCAAGAAAAUCCUCCCUUGUUCCCCUUCCCGUGACUGCUGGUUUCUGAGCAGUCACAGUUUCCUAAGUUCUUCUGCAUCAGUCUUCAGAUUUCUUUACAAGCCUGACAAGUUCUCUUCAACUCCAUUGACCUCAGGUUCAGAGAUUAAGUCACAGAUUCAGACUAUAUUGAGUUGGAAGGGACCCUGAAAGGUCACCUUGGCCAACCUCCCUGCACUCAGCAAGUACACCUCCAACUAGAGGAGGCUGCCCAGGACCACAUCCAGUCUGAUCUUGAAUGUCUUCAGGCACAGGGCUUCAACCACAUCCCUGGGCAGCCUGUUCCAGUAUUUCACUACUCUCGUUGUACAGAGCUUCCUUGUGAUGUCCAACCUAAAUCUGCCCUGCUCCAGUUUCAAACCAUUGCCUCUCAUCCUGUCACCACAGGCCCUUCUAAACAGUCCCUCCCCAGCCUUCCUGUAGGUCCCCUGCAGAUACUGAAAUACAGCUCUAAGGUCUUCUUGAAGGCCUCUCUUCUCCAGGCUGAACAGCCCCAGCCUGUCCUCAUAGCAGAGAUUCUCCAGCCCUCUAAUCACCUUCAUGUCCUCCUCUGGACCCUCUCUGGCAGGUCUAUGUCCUCCCUGUGUUGGGGACUCCAGAGCUGAAUACAGGUGAGGUCUUGCCAGAGCAGAGGAGCAGAAUCACCUCUCAGUCUGCUGGUCAUGCUGCUUUUGAUGCAGCCCAGGAUGCUUCUUUCAGUUUCUGUGCCUCUAAAUCUUUUGGGAAUCUGCUGACAAGUCAUCCUCUUGCUGUUCCCCCUUAAAAACUUUACCCUCACCUUUCAUGGUAGGCUUGCUACAGAGAACAGCACAUUGCUCUGAGCUGUGCCUCUAGGCUGAUGAAAUGGAGCUGCUGUGAAGGAGACAACCCUCUGCCUCACCUCCCACAGUGCUUGUGCAGGGGCUGAUGCAGUGCUAACCCCACCACCAGCCGGUUUAGGUUUACCUCAGUAUGGAAGUGAAGAGUUGUGAGCACUGUUGUCAGCAGCUGGGCAGCUCCUGGGCCUAGGGAGACUGGGAAAGUGCACUUCGAGCUGGUGUGCUGCCUCCCUUCUGGCACCACCAGCUGUAUUCCUGUAGGGCCCAAGAAGCACCAGUGCAAGCACUCCUCUAGCUGCUCAGGAACUGUCCCCUUUGGAAACUAACUCAGUCUUCUACCAAAAUAGGGUUUCAGUGGGAUCAGCUCCUUGUAUUGAUUCAUGUGCUGAGGCAGGCAUCACUGCAGGCUGGUGAAAAGUGCAGAUGGUCAGGUUGCAUAUUUCUUUGUUUGUAUAUAGAACUUAACUUGGCUUAAGCCAAUUGUGAAUACCUGAGAAGAGUAAACCCAGCUGGGGUACCAGGGAGUGCAUAUUUGUUCCCUUCUUCCUUCCUUACUGUUUACCUUAGGAUUUCUAAUAUGCUGUUACUUGAUGUGGGUUUUGUUCUUAUCUAAUGCCCUGUUAUUUCCCUCGCUGUUCCCUCCCCAUCCACAGGCUCCUUGAGAUAAACCCUUGCAGUUGGGCAGGACAUGAGUAAUGAAGAACUUAGUAAAUGUGUGGAAUUAAUAAAUAAACAUGCACAAAACUCAUGUGCACUCAGUGAUUAGACUCCAUGGCAGCUAAAGAUCAUGGUAAGUCUUCUCCUGUAAUUG